rnacentral:rRNA from 1 species
GACGAACGCUGGCGGCGUGCUUAACACAUGCAAGUCGAACGAGACGAUUGAAAGCUUGCUUUUGAAAGUCGAGUGGCAAACGGGUGAGUAACGCGUAGGCAACCUGCCUUCGAGAUGGGGACAACAGUCCGAAAGGACUGCUAAUACCGAAUGUUGUGACGGAACCACAUGGAUUUGUCAUGAAAGAUGGCCUCUAUUUAUAAGCUAUCGCUCGAAGAUGGGCCUGCGUCUGAUUAGCUAGUUGGUGGGGCAACGGCCUACCAAGGCGACGAUCAGUAGCCGGUCUGAGAGGAUGAACGGCCACAUUGGAACUGAGACACGGUCCAGACUCCUACGGGAGCAGCAGUGGGAAUCUCGCAAUGGCGAAAAGCCUGACGAGCAACGCCGCGUGAGUGAUGACGGCCUCGGUGUAAGACGUCUGUGAUCGGGGACGAACGGGUACCGAGCAGACGAA